GACGUAGGGCGCGAGCGUUGUCCGGAUUUAUUGGGCGUAAAGAGCUCGUAGGCGGCUCAUCGCGUCAACCGUGAAAACCAGCAGCUCAACUGUUGGCUUGCGGUUGAUACGGGUGGGCUGGAGUUCGGUAGGGGAGACUGGAAUUCCUGGUGUAGCGGUGAAAUGCGCAGAUAUCAGGAGGAACACCGGUGGCGAAGGCGGAUCUCUGGGCCAGUAUUGACGCUGAGGAGCGAAAGCGUGGGUAGCAAACAGG
rnacentral:rRNA from 1 species